UACGGAGGGUGCAAGCGUUAUCCGGAUUCACUGGGUUUAAAGGGUGCGUAGGAGGGCAGGUAAGUCAGUGGUGAAAUCCCCGAGCUUAACUUGGGAACUGCCGUUGAUACUAUCUGUCUUGAAUACCGUGGAGGUGAGCGGAAUAUGUCAUGUAGCGGUGAAAUGCUUAGAUAUGACAUAGAACACCAAUUGCGAAGGCAGCUCGCUACACGAAUAUUGACUCUGAGGCACGAAAAGCGUGGGGAUCAAACAGG
rnacentral:rRNA from 1 species